CUGCCCCGCCGCUUGGGCAAAAAGGGCAGUCCCGCAUCGGCAGUUCCCCCUCCCCGUCUCGCGCUCCUCCUCGCGCCGCCGUCCUCCUUGCGGCGGCGUCGCCCUCCCCGUCUCGCGGCGACGCCGCCGCUCCCGCGUCGCCCUUCGCCUCCCAAAUCGACGCCCCCUCGCGUCGCUUCCCCCCACGCCCUCGCCCGGCCCUAGCUCUGCCUGGCCGCCGGCUCACCUCCUCUCCAUCGCCCUUGCGCCACUCCCUCCCACCGCCCUCGCCGACUAUCUCGACCGCAUUAUAUUCCCGGAUCACCGCUCGCCAAAAUCGCCCUCCCCAAAGCUCACCGACACCACCAUCAAGCCGCCCCCGGCCUGCCCCACGCGCGACGCUCGCCCUCCUCCGAGCGCGCCGGGCGCCUCCGGCCUCCCCGCUCUCUGCGGCCCCCGCGAGCUCCGGGUUCCUCCGCCCUCCCCUGCGCUCCGGGGGGCGCUGCGGUCUGCGGAUGCGCCUCGACUCCCGCCGCGGCCACGGAGUCCGCGGAUCCGCCGCCGCCCUGGAUAGCACGCCCCGUGCCCUGUUGCAAAGCCGCCAACACCGCGACUCCUGCAGCAGCUGCGGAUCCCGCGGAUCGCGCCGCGGGCCCCGCAGAAGGUGACGGGCCAGGUCGAUCCCAUGCCUCCUUUCCUCCACGACCUCCUCACUCCCUCCAGGACGUCGUAGUCCUGGUGUGACGCCCCCACUCUCCUGCUAGCCAUCUGCGAUGACAGCCGCGCGCACCCGCUUCCCAACAGGCCUUCGUGUUUAUUCGUCGAUCGCAAGUUUGUGUCCUGACCUGGUUGGUUGUGGUUCCUUGCAGCGCACAGUUGUUCACAUGUGGUGGAACCACCGAGACCAUCACAGCUUGAUGUUCUUUGAGCUUUCAGAUCUUUGCUGUGUCUCCGAUUUGCCGACAAAUUCAUUUGCCGCACUCAAGGAUUUGCUGACAAAUUAGAUCUGUAAAGAAUUUGUUACUCAAAUUCAUUUGCUGCACUCCGAGGCUACUGGGAAGCCAGCACUGUUAUUCAGCCGUUAUCAAUGGGGAGUACGAAGCAGCACAUCAAACACGCUCAUCAACAUGUGAAGGUUCACCUUAUCAAGGCUGCAGGUGUGUAUUGUGGAUUCAACCUGUUUCUCCUCUAGCUUCUCGAUCCAUCUGUUGUUCGCCGCUAAAUGCCAGAAUGGAUAGAUUUUUUGAACUGGGUAAAUGCAAGGAACAUGCCAGAAUGCUAGAAUGAGAUUACAGUUCCAGAAAUUCAUGAACUAUCUUUUUGCACGAGACAACUUGUAAUACGUUACUUUAGAUCACAUGAAACAUGUUGGAUAAAUCUGGGUUGCAAUGGCAUGCAAAGCAAUAACAUUGUUUCUGUGUUUUGUUGCCUACUGAGUUUAUUUUCCCCUUCAUACAACAGUAUGGCAGUAACAACAUGCUAUGUGUUCCAAUGCUUCCUUAGUGCUUUUAGUGCCAGCUAAUCUGUGUACAUUUCUUUUCUAGGAAGUUAAUGCUAUAUGUGCGUUAAUGCUAAUUGCUUAAAGAAAUUUCUACUGUAAAAUUAAGCUAUUUGAUUUCAAGCAAGUAGAAUUUAUGGAUAUGUUGUGCUAUAGAAUAUUUUAGUAAUUGCAUAUGCAGAUUAAUUUUUUGAGGAAAAGUUAUAAUACUUUGGUUUCAUGUCGUAUUCAUAUAAAGUGUUUAAUUUCUUGCCAAGAUAAAAUUGCUAGAUGGAAUCACUAAUGUUGUUGACUAAGUGGCAAUUUGUCAGUUCUAUAGUUUUCCCAGGAGUGGCGCAGCGAGUCUAUAUGCCCGUCCGCUUCCUCCAAGGAGUCUAAUUGCGGGUCAGUAUCUACAUGCAAGAUAUAGUCUGCUACAUCACUUUUAUUUUGUUGUAGGGAUUCAUCUCAACUUUUUACAUAAGUAGUUCUGUCAGGUAGCUAAAUUGAUAAUUGAAUGGUUACAAUUAGAUUUUGUUUGAUCUCCUGGUUCUAUCAGAAAGAAUGCAAAUAAUUUCCAUUCUGCUUCAAAAUAGUAAUACAGAAAAUUGUUUUUUCAUUAGCUUUUUUCAUUUGCGAAGCCUUUUUUGCAAAUGCUUAUUUCAUCUUGUGAUUUCAAAAUAUGUUUUUUUUUCAUGCUCCUAUUAUUGCACUAAAUAAAUUCGGAUCCCGUAACAACACACGGGCAUGAUGGAGACCAUAUUGAUUCUGAUCUUUUAGUUGUUUCCUGCAAGAUUUUAACUAUUCUGCUUCUUGUACCCUGGGAAAAAAAUUUGGUGGGACGGGAUGCAAACCUGCUCCUUUGCAACCCUGGUUCAGAUGCAUGCCACCUGUCCACCUAGACCAUCAGUCGCAGGCCCUGCACCUUGAUCUGCUUGGCUCCUCCAAUCCAAGCUCCAAGCACAGGUCGAUUUCUAGGUGCCCAGCAGGCCAGCAGGCUUGGCUCAGCUCCCUGCAGGAGCCUCUCUCGUGUACUGCCACCGCCGCCACCGCAGGUUAUCUCGUAUUCUCAUCUCCCCCGCCGCCGUGUUUCACUCCAUUCACCUAGGACUAGGAUGAUAUCCUAUGCUUGGAUCCAUUUCUUCACCGUCACAUCCACCUGUGUGAUCCGCCGCCGCCGCUGUGUUCCGCUCUGCAGAUCUCGUAUGCCUCCGCCUCUGUAUGAUUAUUGCCGUUGGUGAGUGAAGAUACGAUUUAUUUCUGGUAAUAUGUUCCCUUUUGGAUGCAGUUUCAAUUGAUUCCCUAGCUUGUGGAAGGUUAACUGCAGAAUAAAGCACCGUGUUAAUGUCGCUAUGUCUCACAAAGACCAAAUAUUCAGUCGGAUCAUUGAUAGAAAUCAAAAUCAUGCAAGUCCUAAUAGGCUAGAAUUUCUGAAUACUGGAUUAAGCAAAUAUGGGUCAUUUAGCACCUUUAGUUCGAGGACAUAACUACUUGGUGUCCUGUUUAAUCAUUUUUGUAGGGAUCAAAGGACCAUAUGGAUGGUUGACAGGGAAACCCAUUCACAGGAUUCGGAAACUUGAUGGAAAGAUGAUGCUGUCAUGUUGUACAGCCAAGCCAGUACUGUAUAUACUGGAUUCCAUUUGCUGCAGUUCUGGAAAUAUUUCGAUGUAUAGUGUGUAGUUAUAAAAUUGUGCAUUUCCAUACCAAUUACAGUAGUUAUCAUAUUGUUCAAUUCUGGAUGUGUUAGUAAAAGUGGUUGUUCUGAUAUAAAUAUUAAUAUCCUAAAAAUUUGGGUUUGUCUCACUCAUUCUGGGGGUCCGGAAUACAGCAUGUAUGUGCUACAAGAAUGAGAUUGUUCUAAAAUAAAUAUUGAUGUUCUGAAAAA